AACUUUUGACAAUGGAUCACUUGGCUCUCGCAUCGAUGAAGAACGCAGCGAAAUGCGAUACGUAAUGUGAAUUGCAGGAUUCAGUGAAUCAUCGAAUCUUUGAACGCACCUUGCGCCCCUUGGAAUUCCGAGGGGCACACCCGUUUGAGUGUCGUGAACAUCCUUCAACCUUUCUUGGUUUGUUAACCGGGGAAGGCUUGGACUUUGGGGGUCUUUCAUUGCUGGCCUCUUUGAAGCCAGCUCCUCCUAAAUGGAUUAGUGUGGUCUGCUUUGCCGAUCCUUGACGUGAUAAGAUGUUUCUACGUCUUGGGUUUCGCACUGUCGCUUUAGACCCCGCUUCUAACCGUCUUGCAUUCAAGACAGAGUUUUAAACCUUGACCUCAAAUCGGGUGAGACUACCCGCUGAACUUAAGCAUAUCAAUAAGCGGAGGCU
rnacentral:misc_RNA from 1 species